AGGAAAUUUUUUGGCGCCAA
rnacentral:siRNA from 1 species